rnacentral:rRNA from 1 species
UGGGGAAUUUUGGACAAUGGGCGCAAGCCUGAUCCAGCCAUGCCGCGUGCGGGAAGAAGGCCUUCGGGUUGUAAACCGCUUUUGUCAGGGAAGAAAUCUUCUGAGUUAAUACCUCGGGAGGAUGACGGUACCUGAAGAAUAAGCACCGGCUAACUACGUGCCAGCAGCCGCGGUAAUACGUAGGGUGCAAGCGUUAAUCGGAAUUACUGGGCGUAAAGCGUGCGCAGGCGGUUUUGUAAGACAGAGGUGAAAUCCCCGGGCUCAACCUGGGAACUGCCUUUGUGACUGCAAGGCUUGAGUGCGGCAGAGGGGGGAUGGAAUUCCGCGUGUAGCAGUGAAAUGCGUAGAUAUGCGGAGGAACACCGAUGGCGAAGGCAAUCCCCUGGGCCUGCACUGACGCUCAUGCACGGAAGCGUGGGGAGCAAACAGGAUUAGAUACCCUGGUAGUCCACGCCCUAAACGAUGUCAACUGGUUGUUGGGAAGGUUCCUUCUCAGUAACGUAGCUAACGCGUGAAGUUGACCGCCUGGGGAGUACGGCCGCAAGGUUGAAACUUAAAUGAAUUGACGGGGUCAUAG